UGGGGAAUUUUGGACAAUGGGCGCAAGCCUGAUCCAGCAAUGCCGCGUGCAGGAUGAAGGCCUUCGGGUUGUAAACUGCUUUUGUACGGAGCGAAAAGGUCUGCCCUAAUACGGUGGGCUCAUGACGGUACCGUAAGAAUAAGCACCGGCUAACUACGUGCCAGCAGCCGCGGUAAUACGUAGGGUGCGAGCGUUAAUCGGAAUUACUGGGCGUAAAGCGUGCGCAGGCGGUUAUAUAAGACAGAGGUGAAAUCCCCGGGCUCAACCUGGGAACUGCCUUUGUGACUGCAUAGCUAGAGUACGGUAGAGGGGGAUGGAAUUCCGCGUGUAGCAGUGAAAUGCGUAGAUAUGCGGAGGAACACCGAUGGCGAAAGCAAUCCCCUGGACCUGUACUGACGCUCAUGCACGAAAGCGUGGGGAGCAAACA
rnacentral:rRNA from 1 species